AAGGAUUUAAGAUCAAUGUCUACUUGUGUCAAGUACAAGUAUUUAAUUGAUUAUCCUUGGAGCUCAAGACAACUGAUGUUCUUAAAGAUGUUGGAACAUCUCUUCUUCAAGACCCUGUGUAGAAUCACAGGAAGGAUAGUACAUUGGCUUAGGAUCUAUCUCUUUGGUGGCAGCAAAAGCGUAUGAUCUCUGAAAAGGUUUCAUGGCAAGAAACUUGUACAGCCUCAGUGUGUACGAGAAGAAGAAGACAUCAUAG
rnacentral:lncRNA from 1 species